AUAUGAGGUUGAUCUACCUGUCAACUCCCAGCAUGCUAUUAAGAUAUAAAAUGAGGGUCGUUACAACUUUAAUAAUGCAGAUUUAAUUUUAAAGACUGGCAGUGGCUGUCAGGCACAAGAAGCACCCACAACACCUAGCCCAGUGCCCGUCGGAUUGGGUUCUCCACGUUAGAUUUACUGAAUUGAAUUAUUAGGUAAGUAUUUCUGUCUUGAGCCACGGAAUUCAUUUAUAAAGAAUAAAGAUGAGCUUGUGUCGUCACAUCUAUGUAUUUUGGCGAAAUGUACUAAAAACAGAUUUAUUAUUCUGAGAUAUUUAGAACGAUUCUACAAUAAUCACAUUUAGAUGGUCACUGCUAAUACAUAGAAGACAGUUUUAUGAAAAUAAACAAGAUAAUAAUGAGAAGACAUAUGAAAGUUUUGACGUAGACACAGGGGAGAUACCUCGGCAGUUACAAGCACUGCUGCUGUGGCAGAGAACCUGGGUUUGGUUUCUAGCAAACAAAAGUUAGCUCAAAACUCUCCAGAAAAAAAUAGUUCCAGGGAUUCAAGACCUUUUUUUGCCUCUGUGGAAACAUUUGUGGUGCCACACAUGUACAUCCAAGUAAAACAUUCAUGCACAUACGUUUUUGAAAAUUAAAAUAAAACUGCAUUAGUUAAGGACAUGGAAAGAUGUAACAGGGAGACAGCCUGGUGAUUAAAUGUGGUUGCUGUGCAAGUCUGACAACCUGAGUUUGAUUCCUGGGUAUCAGAUAAAAAGUCCCCAAGGCAGCAAGCCUGGAACAGAAAUAGAAUCAGUAAUGCAGUAAGAGAUACCUCCCAUCAAACCAUGUACAAAAUGAGAACCAACUCCCAAGAGUUGACAUUUAACCCAUGCAGACACCUUGGAGAUUAAGCUUGCGCACACUCAUGUAAAUGUGCACAUAUAGUAUGCAAAUAGCACAACAUAAAAUAUACCACACAGACUUAUACCUAUUUUAAAAAAAAAGAAAUAGCAAUUAUAAAAAGGAAAAUCACUGUGUGUGUGUGUAAUAGCAAGUGAUUAAAGAGGAGGCAAUAAAUUUGAAAGAGAGGUGGAUAAAAAAAGGAAAGACAUGACUGUUCAUAGGUUAUGUGGGAACAGAAAGUUUAUUACACAUAAAAGGGAAAGCGUAAUUAGAAAAAAAGGGAAACACAGGAGAAUCCUGAGUUAACAUCACCAUACUGAGUUAGGCCAUUCAAGGAGAGGAGGGAGAACAUGAGGGAAGCUGUUGAUUAAGAGGGCUAGCCUGGGACAAGAGACUGGCCAAGAGAGUUAAGAGCCAUUCAAAGGAGAAGACCAGGAAAAUAAAAUAGCUGGAUUUCAUAGUGAAAGAUAUCUGAAAGAACAGCCACCCAGGCAAUAGGCUAGAGAAGGUUGGGGGGGGGCAGGGUAUGCCACCCAGAAAGACUUGGUAACACAUAGGAACUGAGGGAUGCUAGAACCUGGACACCAGUGUUUACUUUGAUAUUUUAAUGAACACUUUAGUUAGCCAUUUUUCCUGGCUUUUAGACCUAUAAGAAAUACAUGGGAAAUUUGGAGGAAAGAAACAGAAGGAAAACAGUAUGUAGUUAUAAUCUC
rnacentral:lncRNA from 1 species